AGAGUUUGAUCCUGGCUCAGAGCGAACGCUGGCGGCGUGCUUAACACAUGCAAGUCGAGUGCGCGCCUGUAGCAAUACAGGUGGCGCACGGCGCACGGGUGCGUAACACGUGGGUAAUCUGCCCUUCGAUGGGGAAUAACUCGCCGAAAGGCGAGCUAAUUCCGCAUAACAUUCCGAGAACUUCGGUUUUUGGAUUCAAAGGCGUAAGUCGUCGGAGGAGGAGCCCGCGCACGAUUAGCUAGUUGGUGAGGUAAUGGCUCGCCAAGGCUAUGAUCGUUAGCUGGUCUGAGAGGAUGGCCAGCCACACUGGAACUGAGACACGGUCCAGACUCCUACGGGAGGCAGCAGUGGGGAAUCUUGCACAAUGGGCGAAAGCCUGAUGCAGCGACGCCGCGUGGGGGAUGAAGCUUCUCGGAGUGUAAACCCCUUUCGACCCGGACGAAUGCCCCGCAAGGGGACUGACGGUACGGGUAUAAGAAGCCCCGGCUAACUACGUGCCAGCAGCCGCGGUAAGACGUAGGGGGCCAGCGUUGCUCGGAAUUACUGGGUGUAAAGGGUUCGUAGGCGGUGUGGCAAGUCGGGAGUGAAAUCUCUGGGCUCAACCCAGAGUCUGCUUCCGAAACUGCUGUGCUUGAGUGUGGGAGAGGCGCGUGGAAUUGCAGGUGUAGCGGUGAAAUGCGUAGAUAUCUGCAGGAACACCCGUGGCGAAAGCGGCGCGCUGGACCACUACUGACGCUGAGGAACGAAAGCUAGGGGAGCAAACAGGAUUAGAUACCCCAGUAGUCC
rnacentral:rRNA from 1 species